rnacentral:rRNA from 1 species
UACGUAGGUGACUAGCGUUGUCCGGAUUUACUGGGCGUAAAGAGCGCGCAGGCGGUCGUUCAAGUCGAGUGUGAAAGCCCCCGGCUCAACUGGGGAGGGUCAUUCGAUACUGAUCGACUCGAAGGCAGGAGAGGGAAGCGGAAUUCCCGGUGUAGUGGUGAAAUGCGUAGAUAUCGGGAGGAACACCGGUGGCGAAGGCGGCGUUCUGGACUGCAACUGACACUGAUGAACGAAAGCCAGGGGAGCAAACGGG